rnacentral:tRNA from 1 species
AGUAAGGUCAGCUAAAUAAGCUAUCGGGCCCAUACCCCGAAAAGGAUGGUCAUCCUUCCGUACUA